GUAGUCAUAUGCUUGUCUCAAAGAUUAAGCCAUGCAUGUCUAAGUAUAAGCAACUUGUACUGUGAAACUGCGAAUGGCUCAUUAAAUCAGUUAUCGUUUAUUUGAUAGUACCUUACUACAUGGAUACCUGUGGUAAUUCUAGAGCUAAUACAUGCUAAAAACCCCGACUUCAGGAAGGGGUGUAUUUAUUAGAUAAAAAACCAACGCCCUUCGGGGCUCCUUGGUGAAUCAUAAUAACUUAACGAAUCGCAUGGCCUUGCGCCGGCGAUGGUUCAUUCAAAUUUCUGCCCUAUCAACUUUCGAUGGUAGGAUAGUGGCCUACCAUGGUGGCAACGGGUAACGGGGAAUUAGGGUUCGAUUCCGGAGAGGGAGCCUGAGAAACGGCUACCACAUCCAAGGAAGGCAGCAGGCGCGCAAAUUACCCAAUCCCGAUACGGGGAGGUAGUGACAAUAAAUACUGAUACGGGGCUCUUUUGGGUCUCGUAAUUGGAAUGAGAACAAU
rnacentral:rRNA from 1 species